rnacentral:rRNA from 1 species
AGUCGUACGCUUCUUUUUCCACCGGAGCUUGCUCCACCGGAAAAAGAAGAGUGGCGAACGGGUGAGUAACACGUGGGUAACCUGCCCAUCAGAAGGGGAUAACACUUGGAAACAGGUGCUAAUACCGUAUAACAAUCGAAACCGCAUGGUUUUGAUUUGAAAGGCGCUUUCGGGUGUCGCUGAUGGAUGGACCCGCGGUGCAUUAGCUAGUUGGUGAGGUAACGGCUCACCAAGGCCACGAUGCAUAGCCGACCUGAGAGGGUGAUCGGCCACAUUGGGACUGAGACACGGCCCAAACUCCUACGGGAGGCAGCAGUAGGGAAUCUUCGGCAAUGGACGAAAGUCUGACCGAGCAACGCCGCGUGAGUGAAGAAGGUUUUCGGAUCGUAAAACUCUGUUGUUAGAGAAGAACAAGGAUGAGAGUAACUGUUCAUCCCUUGACGGUAUCUAACCAGAAAGCCACGGCUAACUACGUGCC